rnacentral:tRNA from 1 species
GGGAGCGUAGCUCAGCGGGAGAGCACACGGCUGAAGAUAAUUUAGCCGAAACCGUGGAAUUGUUUUAACUAAAACAAUGCGGAAUGUCGGGGGUUCGACACCCCCCGCUCCCA